AUGUGCUCUGACAAACAGAACGAACAGCACCAGAGUAGUUAUAAUGAUGUGCUCUGACAAACAGAACGAACAGCACCAGAGUAGGUAUAAUGAUGUGCUCUGACAAACAGAACGAACAGCACCAGAGUAGGUAUAAUGAUGUGCUCUGACAAACAGAAAGUACAGCACCAGAGUAGGUAUAAUGAUGUGCUCUGACAAACAGAACGAACAGCACCAGAGUAGGUAUAAUGAUGUGCUCUGACAAACAGAAAGAACAGCACCAGAGUAGUUAUAAUGAUGUACUCUGACAAACAGAACGAACAGCACCAGAGUAGUUAUAAUGAUGUACUCUGACAAACAGAACGAACAGCACCAGAGUAGGUAUAAUGAUGUGCUCUGACAAAC